AAAUCAUAAAAAAAAAAAUGCUUACAAAACAAAACUCAUUUCAAACGAUGUUCCAUACAACUCAAAGCACUCUCCUAACAACUCAUUGAACCAUCAUUACAAUUACAAUUAAAAAGGAAAUUCAAACAUUUUCACAAAUUUGCAUCUACUUAAAACAUGAGAGAUAUAAAUCAUUCCUACAUCUAAAGGUUCUAAACCCACCUCAUGCAUAGCACACUUACUAAUUCAGGAAUUAGAAUCAAGCAGCAUAAGAGAACCAGCAUCAAGAAAUAUGAAGACCAAAGGCCUUGCAAAGCAGUGGGCACACAAUAAUAAAGUGCACCAAUAAAAAUCCCAAACUUAACUAACUGAUUGUUUAUGAAUGUUACCUG
rnacentral:misc_RNA from 1 species